rnacentral:rRNA from 1 species
UUUUCCUACGGGGGGCAGCAGUGAGGAAUAUUGGUCAAUGGCCGCAGGGCUGAACCAGCCAAGUCGCGUGAGGGAUGACGGUCCUAUGGAUUGUAAACCUCUUUUGUCAGGGAGCAAAGGGCGCCACGUGUGGCGCUUUGCGAGUACCUGAAGAAAAAGCAUCGGCUAACUCCGUGCCAGCAGCCGCGGUAAUACGGAGGAUGCGAGCGUUAUCCGGAUUUAUUGGGUUUAAAGGGUGCGCAGGCGGGCUGUUAAGCCGGCGGUAAAAAUUCAGGGCUCAACCCUGUCGAGCCGUCGGAAC